rnacentral:rRNA from 1 species
AUUGAACGCUGGCGGCAGGCUUAACACAUGCAAGUCGAGCGGGGGAAGGUAGCUUGCUACCGGACCUAGCGGCGGACGGGUGAGUAAUGCUUAGGAAUCUGCCUAUUAGUGGGGGACAACAUCUCGAAAGGGAUGCUAAUACCGCAUACGUCCUACGGGAGAAAGCAGGGGAUCUUCGGACCGUGCGCUAAUAGAUGAGCCUAAGUCGGAUUAGCUAGUUGGUGGGGUAAAGGCCUACCAAGGCGACGAUCUGUAGCGGGUCUGAGAGGAUGAUCCGCCACACUGGGACUGAGACACGGCCCAGACUCCUACGGGAGGCAGCAGUGGGGAAUAUUGGACAAUGGGGGGAACCCUGAUCCAGCCAUGCCACGUGUGUGAAGAAGGCCUUAUGGUUGUAAAGCACUUCAAGCGAGGAGGAGGCUACUUUAGUUAAUACCUAGAGAUAGUGGACGUUACUCGCAGAAUAAGCACCGGCUAACUCUGUGCCAGCCGCCGCGGUAA